UACGUAGGGGGCAAGCGUUAUCCGGAUUUACUGGGUGUAAAGGGAGCGUAGACGGUUACGCAAGUCUGGAGUGAAAGGCGGGGGCCCAACCCCGGAACUGCUCUGGAAACUGUGCGGCUAGAGUACUGGAGGGGCAGGCGGAAUUCCUAGUGUAGCGGUGAAAUGCGUAGAUAUUAGGAGGAACACCAGUGGCGAAGGCGGCUCACUGGACUGUAACUGACGUUGAGGCUCGAAAGCGUGGGGAGCAAACAGG
rnacentral:rRNA from 1 species